UAGGUAGUUUAUAAAAAAAAUCUUAACUUUGGAAGUUAAUGAACGAUAGAAAAUCGCUUUUUAA
rnacentral:tRNA from 1 species